UACGGAGGGUGCGAGCGUUGUCCGGAAUCAUUGGACGUAAAGGGCGCGUAGGCGGUUUGUACAGUCAGAUGUGAAAUUCCUGGGCUUAACCUGGGGGCUGCAUUUGAUACGUGCAGACUUGAGUGAGGAAGAGGGUUGUGGAAUUCCCAGUGUAGAGGUGAAAUUCGUAGAUAUUGGGAAGAACACCGGUGGCGAAGGCGGCAACCUGGUCCUUGACUGACGCUGAGGCGCGAAAGCGUGGGGAGCAAACAGG
rnacentral:rRNA from 1 species